CUGGGAAUAUUCGGUGGCGAUUGCAGUUGACCGUGGAUGUCCUUUAGAUAGUGGUCACACAUUUCUUGAGGGAGUGUUCAGACAAGUGACAAGCUAUAAUCUGCUGGGCAAACCCAAACAAAAAGGGAGAAUUGUAAAACAAAAAUUAUUCAGUUAUUUCUUCACAUAAAGGGUAGUGAAGAUGUGGAACACCCCUUUCCAUGUUGAGGUUGGAAGACAACUGGAAGUUUCAAACCUGAAAUCCAUGGAACAUUGGAGCCGAGAAUGUUAAGUGUACAACACAAAGGUAUUUAUUGGAAGUGUCCAACACAAGCAUUUUUUGCAUGGGAUCCUGUAACAGACUUGCAAUGGAUUUGUUGAUUCAUCUGCCUGGUUGAUCUGCUGUGAAAUGGAAUGGAGUCCCAAGCUCAUUCUUCGGUCUCUGCUGAAAUCACUUGGAAUAAAAUUAGUGAUCCCAGACAUUUAAGUUAGCAAGGUUGACAGCUUUAACUCAGGAUGCAUUUGUUUUUCCAUAACCUGUUGUGCGAGGACUGAAAUAAAUCUGUGCAGAGGGAGAAGUGGAUUAAAUCAGAACAAUUUAAUGCAGCAGUGA